GUGGGGAAUAUUGGACAAUGGGCGAAAGCCUGAUCCAGCCAUGCCGCGUGUGUGAAGAAGGUCUUCGGAUUGUAAAGCACUUUAAGUUGGGAGGAAGGGUAGUAACCUAAUACGUUGCUACUUUGACGUUACCGACAGAAUAAGCACCGGCUAACUUCGUGCCAGCAGCCGCGGUAAUACGAAGGGUGCAAGCGUUAAUCGGAAUUACUGGGCGUAAAGCGCGCGUAGGUGGUUCAGUAAGUUGGAAGUGAAAUCCCCGGGCUCAACCUGGGAACUGCUUGCAAAACUGCUGAGCUAGAGUACGGUAGAGGGUGGUGGAAUUUCCUGUGUAGCGGUGAAAUGCGUAGAUAUAGGAAGGAACACCAGUGGCGAAGGCGACCACCUGGACUGAUACUGACACUGAGGUGCGAAAGCGUGGGGAGCAAACAGGAUUAGAUACCGUGUAGUCC
rnacentral:rRNA from 1 species